ensembl:lncRNA
UGGAUGCUUCUCAAUCCACCCAUGUCGCACUUCCGCAUCUGUGGUGAAAGGUAACAGAACUAGAGCAGUGUUUGUCAGACCAGGAGACAUCCCAUCUGAGGUGACAGAACUAGAGCAGUGUUUAUCAGACCAGGAGACAUCCCAUCUGAGGUGAAAGGUAACAGAACUAGAGCAGUGUUUAUCAGACAAGGAGACAUCCCAUCUGAGGUGAAAGGUGACAGAACUAGAGCAGUGUUUAUCAGACCAGGAGACAUCCCAUCUGAGGUGAAAGGUAACAGAACUAGAGCAGUGUUUAUCAGACCAGGAGACAUCCCAU